GAUCCGGAAAGGUGAUAUCUUUCCUUGCUCUUUGUCUUAGUUUGUUUUAUUGAUAAUGUAAUGUUUUGUCUGGUGCUUAUUGCAUAUUUGUAUUCAUUGCAUUACAUGUUUGGACGAUUUUUGGUGCUUGAAUUUUAUGUGUUUUUAAAAUCUUUUGAGGAAAGGUGAUAGGGAAUUAAAAAAUUUCUUUUAGAAAAGAGAUGAUUGAAAAUCAUUAUUUUGGGGGAGAUUAAAUUCUUUUCAAAGUGUUUAAAACGGUAUUUUCACAUUCAUAUUAAAUUAAAUUCAUAUUAAUUAUCGGUUUUACUCCACUUUUUAUUAUUUUGACG
rnacentral:lncRNA from 1 species